rnacentral:lncRNA from 1 species
AAACAGAAGCAGUCAAAAACCCAACAAAUUAAACCAUGAACAGCAAACCAGAUGGAGGAGGAGGAAGACGAAACGAGAAGGAGGUCUUCCUCAGUGCUCAUCGCUGCCCUGAAGUUGAUCUCCUGCCUCAUCAUGAAUCUGAGCCAGGAAUUGUUCCUCCAGGUUCUGUGUCAGCUAAUGUUAAACAGGCCCAGGUCACCAGCACAGGUCAGUCCGAGUCAAACUACCUGGAUGUGUCCUCCACCCCUCACUGUGACGAAGAUGAAGAUGGAACUAUCAGUGACUGGUCGGAAGAAGAUCUUUCCCUCCACUUCUCUCCCUCUGUCAUCAUCUCAUCAGAUGAUGAAGAGUGCACCUUUGAGUGUGUGGAUAUCACCAUGGAAACACUGGUAAACAGUCAGGAGGGGGAGGGGCCAAAGAUGGUCCCAAAAAGACAGAUUCAACUGAAGAAGAAAGAGGAAGAAAACUUUGUCAAGGAGAAGAAGUUACAGGUGAGGAGUGACCCUGCUGAGGGCAAAGAUGGCAGCAGUGAGUUGUCAGCAUACAACACGCCCUCACCCAGUACACACCAGCGGCCAGAUCUUUUGCUACGUCAGCACAGUAUGCCCGCCUCUACCACCAGCGGUGAUGCUGACAGCUACAGAGUCUACAGGGGCCUGAUUGCAGGGGCCAAUCAAGGGUUGCAUGUUGGAGCAAACUCAAAACAGAGACUGCAGAAGUCUUUUUCUUUAGAUGAAAGUAAAACAAAGAUGGCGUCCUGCAUCAUUAAGAACGUUCUAUCUAAAAAGAUGCAGGCAGAGCAGAACCACUCCAAAACCCCUCAUGGGAAGAUUAAACCCACCAUGGUACCCAACCUCCCCCAGCCUGUAGAGCAACCGAGGGUGAGCGAGGGAGCAGGAGGUGAGACAGGUUGGGGUGUAACUAAAGCUCCAAUUCAUGUGGUAAGAGACAUGAGGAGCUUGGUUAAAAACACAUACAGCCACACCAUGUCUACUUCACAUAACAGUAAGCCAUUAGGCUUUAAGCUAGUUGGUCAGGGCGGAAGCCCACCCCCCACCUACCAGCAGGCGGUGGGGGUCAAAAGUCACGAUCACUCCAAGAAUUCUUUAGGAGGAACUGUCAAGCAAGUCACUGCGUCUCUCAUGCAGUCACAGAAAAGGAAUCAGAGCAACAGACCCAAUCAUCGAAUCACACAGCAGAGAAGAGGCAGCGAGCCGAUCGUAACCAGGAGUCAACGGGACGAUGUCCUCGGCCCUGCUGGGGUAGCUUUGUCCACUAUGUCACCCAAUCUUAAUACCCCAUCAAACAGCAUUAGUCCAGAGAGAGCUGGCGACGUGAGUCACAAGACACAGCGCUCACUGCCCCCCUCCGAGGUCACCCACCCUCCAGUUUGUCCCUCCGCCUCCAGACACCCUGAAGUGACCCAUCCUCUGGUCUCCAGCCAAGAACAGAGCACCAUCCUGGGUUUGCCCUCUCAGUUUGUCCCAGGAAACUCUCAGCAGAUCUUCCAACCCUGCUUCUACACUUCAGCUGCCCUGCCUCCCUUCGCCCCCACCAUGGUUCGCCACAUGGGGAAGGUGAGCUACGUGCAAGGUCCUCUGAACUACAUCCAAACUCACCUGCAACCCAACCUCCAUCUUCUGAGAAAACCUGAAGAGAAUCAGAAUGAUUUGACAGGAAACUACCCUAAUCAGCAAGAGCUGCGCUCACCUCACUUGAUGACGGAAGACCAGAAGAGUCACAGUAACACAGCAACAACUGCGACGCAGGAGAAACCCCAGCUACAGGCAGAGGAGCAGCCAUUUCUAACUGGAGUUCAGGGUUUCCUUGCUGUUAACGGUGCCUCAAAUUCUGCUGGAUCGACAUCUGGGGGACUUUCGAAUGUUCCCACACCCAGUCACAUGUUAGACCCCAAAACCCCCCUCCAAUGCUUCUAUGUGGAUAUACCCCCACAGUCUCAAAGGAAGAUGCUUCUGGAUCCAGAAACUGGUCAGUAUGUACAGGUUUUCCUACCUGCAUCCAGUCCCACUUCUAAGUGCAGUGCAUUUCCUGUGGGCUUUGGAAACCCCACCCCCUUUGCUCCUGCUGGGAUGAAACCCACUCCAGCGAUCCUGUCAGUCAUGCAGUUUCAGCCAACAAUUGCCGUGUCCCCACUGUAUGCCCCCCCUUUUCUACCUUUCCCCCUAAACGCACCAUCCAUUAAUUUCUCACACACACCACUGUGAUGACAUCACAGUCCAUCCAGUGAUGAUGAUGAUGAUGAUGAUGAGGAGGAGGAGGAGGAGGAGGACAACAUCGUGCCACCUUUUCGUGCAAAUUACCAUCAUUUUCUGUGCGUGUUGCUGCCUUGGCAUUAAUUUCCAGGAAGACUAUUAAAAUCAUUAAACCUCAUACAAGUUACCAUGGAAACACACUGUCACCAUAUGUCUACAGAUGAUUUUUAUGAUAUUUAUGUAUUGUUUGCAAUCACGCCUCACUUUUACAUUUUUUUUAUCUCACUUUGAAGAAGUUUGAUUUGUUUUUGUACACAGUUUUGCACAAAAGUUGCUCGUUUUACAAGUGACACAGGUUUACAAGAUGAGUCUGUAGAAUGCAUGAAAAGCAGAAACUUAGUAAUUAGAUAAGUUUAAAACCUUCUGAGACACUUCAGAGGCACAAGGGCAACAUUUUUUUUUUAUAAAGAAGAUAACAUCAGUUAGAAAUAAGAUGUUUCCAGUAAUUUAUCUUUACUGUGUAUGUUUAGAGUUUUGAUCAUAUCUGACAUUUUUAAUUAGCCCUGAUAAUUCUGGGUGUAUUUAAGAUUUUUUAAAAAGUGAUUUGAACUGGAUGGAAAUGCUCUAUAACUUACCUCAGCUCAAUCAAGUCAAGCAGGUUUCUUUAUAGGUUCACAACAAAGGUUGUUUUUAUGGCACUUUAUUUGUAGAGAAGGUCUUGACCGUAAAGAUAGAUGAGGAGGUGUAAAAAAAUUAAGUUGGAGAGUUCCAGGACAAAGAUGUACAUGGAUACGUUGCAGAGGUCUGGAAAUAGUUGCAGAGGACUGAGCUUGAGUUUCAAAGGACUGUGAGUGAGGUGCAGAGGUAUGGGUGGAGAUCAUCUCUGGGGUCUGGUUUUGGGUUUUAGCCAGUUCAAUGCAACAGAGGUGACUCUUUUAAAACAGAGAUGUGUGAGACUCAUGAACGUGCUGCUAUUUUGCAUGUCAGUUGAAACAUUUUGCUACUUUUUGCACAUCAUUUCCUGAGACAGUUUGGACUUUUAUAAAGCGUUUUCUGAAAGGCAAAAACACCUUUUGUAAGCUCUGAUGUUAUAAAUAAAAAUGGAUUAAAUGUAAAUGUGCAGUUCUCUGAUUAUUAAGCUGCUUCUUGGAAUUAUAAAUAAAACAAAGUAAGACUUUUUCAUCAUUCUGUCAUCUUGUCUUUUCAGGGUUUAAUCAAAUAGGCCCUGAAAAUGUUAAUUCUUUUCAGUUCCGGACUCUGUGUGUCAGCAGAAUUACAGGAUUCCCGACAUUUUCUAAGACACGAUCGCGCUUUGGUCAAAUGAUUUGACCUAUAUAGAGAGCAGCGUCAUCUAAUGUCAUGUGACAUAAAAAAAGACAAAUUCACAACAGUGUCUCUGACUUGUCUAAUUAGUAAUAAAUGCAGCCUCGGCUGGUCAAGAAAUAAAUAGCACGUCUCUCAUACAACAGUUGUGACUUGAUUAAAACAUUAAGUCACAGGGUUUUGGCUUCGGCAC